rnacentral:lncRNA from 1 species
UUCUCUCCCUCCUUGUUCUCGGCUCACCCACACCCCCCUUACAUCCACCAUUUUCAUCCAAUUACAAUCCAUCCAAGGUUUACAUAAGGUGCUAGAAGGUGUCUAACGAAGUGUGGAUCUUGAUGAACCUCCUCCAUUUGCUUUUAUCCAACCAUUUUGUCAUCUUCAAGUUCUAGUAAUCUUCCCUAGCCUUGUUGCUAGUGGUAACUAGAGUGGAUGUGUGCGCGGUCUUACUCUUGCUCAUGGAUGAUGUCUAUGUUUGUCUUUGAAUAAAGAUGUAAUCUUUUCAGACAAUAUGCUGUCUUGUGAUGUAAACACUUAAACCAUGUUUUCAGUUAUGAAAUGUUUGAACCUUUCAUGA